rnacentral:rRNA from 1 species
UACGUAGGGGGCAAGCGUUGUCCGGAUUUACUGGGCGUAAAGCGCCUGUAGGCGGCCUGUCAAGUCCGGCCUGAAAGCCCCCCGCUCCAACGGGGGAGGGUGGCUGGAAACUGGCAGGCUUGAGGGCGAGAGAGGAGGGUGGAAUUCCUGGUGUAGCGGUGAAAUGCGUAGAUAUCGAGAGGAACACCUGCGGCGAAGGCGGGUUGCUGGGCUGACACUGACGCUGAGGCGCGAAAGCCAGGGGAGCGAACGGG